UCAGGAGUGAUCCUGUGCCACCUGUACCAUCAAAAUCAAGAUCAAGAAGGAAGAGACAGGGUCUACCUCAACUACAACAGGAAUGAGAAGCUAGGACGUCGACUGGCCCAAAGGAUGAGGGCGAGGCAGGAGUUGCCGAUCCAAAGGCCUGGCUUAGGAGUGAUCCCGAGCCACCUGUACCAUCAAGAUCAAGAUCAAGAUCACAGAAGGAGACAUGAAAAUAAUGUCCAUAGUGUUACCUGAAUGUACAAAUACUUCUAUGAAAUGUAAAUUCAUGGAAUGGAAAAACAAGUUGGAAAAUGAUAUUGGAGUUAAUUACACUCUUCACAGUGAACCCAAGAGAACCCCAUGUGGCAGCAAGUAGAUGUAUUAUUGUUGAUGAUCUGGUACAGCAAGUGCCAACCUAUAAUGAAGGAAAUAAACGUGCAGGAAAGAGUCAAAGGCACAUGCAAGAUAGGCCAAUCCUGCACAUCCUUCAUUGAAAUGGAAAGGAGUGAUGGAAGGAUUUGCAUGACCUACUUUGUGGACAAUCAUGAUCAUGACAUCAAUUUACCAAGUCUGGCUCACAUGAACUUACCCAAAUGUGACAGGGAUAAAAUUGCAGGUGUCAACAAAUUAUAUUUUAUUCUUCUCAUUUGAUUCAAAGUAGAAGAAUAAUUAUAUUGCUCAUAUGCAGAGAAAUACUGAUUUGUUAUAUAAGUAAAUAAGGUAGUAUGCAGAUCCACUGGUGAACAUGCAAGUAAAUAAGGCAUUAUGCAGAUCCACUGGUGAACAUAUUCUCCAGAGCUUGUAACUGAUAGGAGGAUAUGAAGCACAGAGUUCACUUGUCCCACUAAAUUAAAACUUGAACCUGUGCACUGUUUCUCCCAUUCACUUAGUACAUGUACCAAGCAAAAUCUGCAUUAGUGUUUCUGUAUUUUUUGAGUUACAUCUGUUAAACAUUGUACCUAUGUUGUACCUAUGAUUAAUGUAGUAUUUGGCAAAAAAUGUCAUUCAUUCAGUUUUUGGAAUAAUGUUAAGAAAUUUUUACAUGAA